AAGUAUUAUCACUUAUAGCACGAGAUGUGUUGGCGAUGCCUAUUUCCAUUGUUGCUUCUGAGUCGGCUUUUAGUACAGGAGGUCGUAUACUUGAUCCAUUUCGUAGUUCACUUGCUCCCAAGAUGGUGGAGGUUCUUGUUUGUGCACAAAAUUGGCUUCGAAGUAACAUUCCAAUAUGCCUUAGACAAGCAAUGAAUGAUAUUGAAGAAUUUGAACAACAAUAUGAUUCGGUUGUUUCAGAAUCAAGUUCUUGUUCAAGCCCAAGUCCGGAACCUAAUUUUAUUGAAGUUUAAUAUCAUGGUUUAGAUGGUUCAUUUCAUGGUUUGGCUCAAGGAAAUUAACGACUUUUUGCUUCUUUUUGGAUGACUGUAUUAUUGUUUGGAUGACUGUAUUAUUUUUUUUUUUAAACUUUGGAUGAUUUUCAACUUCAAUUUUGGAUGACUGUAAUGAAUUAUGUUUUUGCAUUACCCACUAGAACAUUGAACUUUGGAUGCCCAGGAGAAGAUAAUGGAAAUUGAUAACAUGUCAUGUCUUAUGAGGUUUGUUAAGUUGAUGCUUUUUUGGAAUUGUUGAAGUUUUCUUUGUGCUUAUGGUUUUAUUUUUGUGAGCAAGGGAUUUUUGUUUUACUCAUGUUCUGUUAUUGACAUCUCUUGUGAAUAGAUAAAUAA